rnacentral:tRNA from 4 species
GGGGGUAGAUGGGUGACUGGUGUGCCUCCUAGUCUUCAAAACUAGUGUGGGGCGUUAAGAGCGUCCCGGGUGGGUUCGAUUCCCACAUGCCCUCGCCA